UGGGGAAUUUUGGACAAUGGGCGAAAGCCUGAUCCAGCAAUGCCGCGUGUGUGAAGAAGGCCUUCGGGUUGUAAAGCACUUUUGCCCGGAAAGAAAUCCUUGGCUCUAAUACAGUCGGGGGAUGACGGUACCGGAAGAAUAAGCACCGGCUAACUACGUGCCAGCAGCCGCGGUAAUACGUAGGGUGCAAGCGUUAAUCGGAAUUACUGGGCGUAAAGCGUGCGCAGGCGGUUUGCUAAGACCGAUGUGAAAUCCCCGGGCUCAACCUGGGAACUGCAUUGGUGACUGGCAGGCUAGAGUAUGGCAGAGGGGGGUAGAAUUCCACGUGUAGCAGUGAAAUGCGUAGAGAUGUGGAGGAAUACCGAUGGCGAAGGCAGCCCCCUGGGCCAAUACUGACGCUCAUGCACGAAAGCGUGGGGAGCAAACAGGGUUAGAUACCCUGGUAGUCCACGCCCUAAACGAUGUCAACUAGUUGUUGGGGAUUCAUUCCUUAGUAACGUAGCUAACGCGUGAAGUUGACCGCCUGGGGAGUACGGUCGCAAGAUUAAAACUUAAAUGAAUUGACGGGGUCAUAGCUGUUUCCU
rnacentral:rRNA from 1 species